CUUCAGGAUGUGCGAGAAAAAGUUUUGGCCAUCUUGUGCGGUGGACAUAAUGAUGGCGCUGGGAAGCUUCUUCUUGUUGGUCAUGAGCUUAAGCAUGAUAUGAGUUGCUUGAAUCUCCAAUACCCUAGCCAUUUGUUGAGAGACACAGCCAAAUAUGUGCCGUUGAUGAAGACAAAUCUUGUAAGCCAAUCGCUCAGGUACCUCACAAAGUCAUAUCUCGGAUACAAGAUCCAAUGCGGGAAGCACGAGCCUUAUGAGGACUGUGUAUCUGCGAUGAGACUGUACAAGAGAAUGCGGGAUCAAGAGCAUGGGUU